rnacentral:rRNA from 1 species
CCAUGAGUAGAGUGGCAAACGGGUGAGUAACACGUGGGUGACCUGCCUUCGAGCGGGGGAUAACGUCCCCGAAAGGGACGCUAAUACCGCAUAACAUCCUGCCUUUUAAGAGGUGGAGAUCAAAGCCGGGGAUCGCAAGACCUGGCACUUGAAGAGGGGCCCGCGCCUGAUUAGCUAGUUGGUGGGGUAAUGGCUCACCAAGGCAACGAUCAGUAUCCGGCCUGAGAGGGCGGACGGACACACUGGGACUGAGACACGGCCCAGACUCCUACGGGAGGCAGCAGUGGGGAAUUGUUCGCAAUGGGCGCAAGCCUGACGACGCAACGCCGCGUGGAGGAUGAAGACCUUCGGGUCGUAAACUCCUUUCGAUCGAGACGAAUGGUUUCCGGGUGAACAAUCCGGAG